rfam:Ruminococcus sp. CAG:563 genomic scaffold, scf153
UCACAACAGCAGGGGUGCUGAGAAAUCGGCUGAGAUCAUACCCUUAACCUGAUUCGGAUAAUACCGACGUAGGAAGCUAUCGAAGUAAAAUC